AUUCUGAAAGAGAAAUGCAGUGAUUUUCGUUAAACUGGUUUGGAUUCUCGAAGAGAAAACGCGUGAUUUUGCGUUAUGGAAGAGAAAGAUGCAAAUGUUUGUUCUGAUUUCGCUUAAAUGGGGGAUUCUCGAAGAAGAAAACGCGUGGUUUUCGGGUUAAAUGGGGGAUUUGCGAAGAGAAAAUGUGCGUUUUCGGUUAAAUGGGGAUUU
rnacentral:lncRNA from 7 species